UAUCAUAAGUAAUAGUGUUAAUUUAUAAAUAACUUAUUUAUACAAAGUGAGAAGAUGUGAUCAAAAUAUUUUUACCGAAGGCAUGAACAAAAAAAUCUGGAGAGGACUGUUCUAAAGACAGAGAAGAAAUCUCUAAGAGUGUGCAUUGAAGUUGGUGGGGAAAGAACCCAGAUUUUGUCUGAAUUCAUAAAAAAUUCAAGGAUGGGUUUUAGAUAACGGAAACCUGAUGAGUGAAAAUCUGACUGGGCUCCCUGCCUUGUCCAGAGAAUCAAAUUUAAGAACUUUUUUGUAAACUCAGUUUGCUGCAAGGAUUGGUUGACCCAAUAUUAUGUAGAGCUGGAUUGUGUGAUUGGCCCAGCAAGUACUCCCUUAAUGAGGUUUGCAGUGCCCUGGUUAAAAGGAAAUUAUCAUCCAAAUUAAGAGGACUGGGCCUGCCAGUUUCAUCAAUAAGUUCAUUGCCCAUA
rnacentral:lncRNA from 1 species